AUUUUUUUUGUGGUCACUUAGAAAUGUCCUAGUUGCAAAAUGAAUAGGAAAUAUAGUCAAGACCUUGACAAGGUUAUAAAUAAUUGUUUUUAAUUUAAAUAAUAAAUGUGUCCUUCAAACUUUGCCUUCGUCAAAGAAUCCUCAAUUUGCAGCAAUUACAGCCUUGCAGACCUUUAACAUUGUAGUUGUCAAUUUGUUGAGGUAAUCUGAAGAGAUUUCACCCCAUGCUUCCUGAAGCACCUCCCACAAAUUGUAUUGGCUUGAUGGGCACUUCUUACGUACCAUGUGGUCAAGCUGCUGCACAACAGCUCAAUAGGGUUGAGAUCUGGUGACUAUGCUGGCCACUCCAUUAUAUACAGAAUACCAUCUGACUGCUUCUUCCCUAAAUAGUUAUUGUAUAGUUUGGAGCUGUGCUUUGGGUCGUUGUCCUGUUGUAGGAGGAAAUUGCCUCCAAUUAAGCACCGUCCACAGAGUAUGGCAUGGCGUUGCAAAAUGGAGUGAUAACCUUCCUUCUUCAAGAUCCCCUUUACCCUGUAGAAAUAUCCCACUUUACUAACACCAAAGCACCCCCAGACUAUCACAUUGCCUCCACCAUGCUUGACAGAUGGUGUCAAGCACUCCUCCAUAUUCACAGCCCUGAGUCAAUACUUUGGAGAAGCACCUUUGGCAGUGAUUACAUCUGUGAGUCUUUCUGGUCUCCGGGAGCUGCCGGUCAUUGAGCAUGGUCUGCAGUCCUUCGGCCACUUUCUCCUGGAUCAACUUUGUCAAGCGCACCAACCACAGACACUACCUGUAUGUCCCUCAACAGGUGCUAAUCCUAGGUUGGUCGUUCUGGCAAUGCCCAGACCGUGUCUCUGGCCCUGUCUGGAUGUGUGUACUACGGCACAACCCAGCACGAGCUCCUCCACGCCCUGUGCUUCAACCACGAGCAGACCUACAGCGACCGUGACAACCACGCCAACAUUGUGUCCUGGUAGUUAAUUUUUUUAAAGAAACAAAAUAUGCUUCCCUGCUAAAAUAUGGGUCAAAUAUUGAGAGGAAUGUGAGUUUUAUUCAGUACAUUUACUUAUUGCUUGCUUUUCUAAUGUCUACCAACCUUGCCAGCUAAGAUAGCUAGUGGCAAGUGGUACUUCAGAAAAAAAAAUGUACAUGUUAUUUUUUAAUAAUAAUAAUAAUAAUAAAUAAGAAUUAUAAAAAAGGGCAAUUCAUAGGGGGCAAGUGCCCCUGUGCCCGCUAUGGGCAUGACGCCUCUGCCCGUCUCAACAGGCUGCCCCAGUGUUAAACACACAUCUUGUAUUUCUGCACUCUCUCAUGAGGAUGCGUUGGUUCAAUAAGCCGACAUCUAAACAUUUAUUGUAUGUUUGUUUAAUUAUUUUAAAAGUCUUAAUGUUUUUUGCAGUGUGGAUACCAUUGGUGGGUUCAAAUAGUAUUUGAAAUAAUUUCAAUGGAACCAAUAAUAAUAAUAGUUUCAAAACUGUAAAACCUGCCCACUUGGUACUGUUGGGAGAUUAGAGCAGCUCAAAGUAUUUGAAACAUUUCAAAUAGUAUGAACCCAGGUCUGACAAAUGUCUGUGCCAAACAACAUUUUUAACACUGCCUACCGAGGUUCGAACUGCUGUCAGUCCCAAUACCAACCACAAGGGGGCGAGAAAUUACCACAGAGCUUUGACAGUGAUUCCAUUUAUGAGUAUACCACUCUAUCGAUUCAAUUCAAUUCAAGGGGCUUUAUUGGCAUGGGAAACGUAUGUUAACAUUGCCAAAGCAAGUGAGGUAGAUAAUAAACAAAAGUGAAAUAAACAAUAAAAAUGAACAGUAAACAUUACACUCACAGAAGUUCCAAAAGAAUAGAGUAUUUACAAAUGUCAUAUUAUGCAUAUAUACAGUGUUGUAACAAUGUACAAAUGGUUCAAGUAUAAAAGUAUACAAUGGUGUUUGUUCUUCA